AUGAACGCUAGCUACAGGCUUAACACAUGCAAGUCGAGGGGCAGCAUGGUCUUAGCUUGCUAAGGCCGAUGGUGACCGGCGCACGGGUGAGUAACACGUAUCCAACCUGCCGUCUACUCUUGGACAGCCUUCUGAAAGGAAGAUUAAUACAAGAUGGCAUCAUGAGUCCGCAUGUUCACAUGAUUAAAGGUAUUCCGGUAGACGAUGGGGAUGCGUUCCAUUAGAUAGUAGGCGGGGUAACGGCCCACCUAGUCUUCGAUGGAUAGGGGUUCUGAGAGGAAGGUCCCCCACAUUGGAACUGAGACACGGUCCAAACUCCUACGGGAGGCAGCAGUGAGGAAUAUUGGUCAAUGGGCGAGAGCCUGAACCAGCCAAGUAGCGUGAAGGAUGACUGCCCUAUGGGUUGUAAACUUCUUUUAUAAAGGAAUAAAGUCGGGUAUGGAUACCCGUUUGCAUGUACUUUAUGAAUAAGGAUCGGCUAACUCCGUGCCAGCAGCCGCGGUAAUACGGAGGAUCCGAGCGUUAUCCGGAUUUAUUGGGUUUAAAGGGAGCGUAGAUGGAUGUUUAAGUCAGUUGUGAAAGUUUGCGGCUCAACCGUAAAAUUGCAGUUGAUACUGGAUAUCUUGAGUGCAGUUGAGGCAGGCGGAAUUCGUGGUGUAGCGGUGAAAUGCUUAGAUAUCACGAAGAACUCCGAUUGCGAAGGCAGCCUGCUAAGCUGCAACUGACAUUGAGGCUCGAAAGUGUGGGUAUCAAACAGGAUUAGAUACCCUGGUAGUCCACACGGUAAACGAUGAAUACUCGCUGUUUGCGAUAUACAGCAAGCGGCCAAGCGAAAGCGUUAAGUAUUCCACCUGGGGAGUACGCCGGCAACGGUGAAACUCAAAGGAAUUGACGGGGGCCCGCACAAGCGGAGGAACAUGUGGUUUAAUUCGAUGAUACGCGAGGAACCUUACCCGGGCUUAAAUUGCAGAUGAAUUACGGUGAAAGCCGUAAGCCGCAAGGCAUCUGUGAAGGUGCUGCAUGGUUGUCGUCAGCUCGUGCCGUGAGGUGUCGGCUUAAGUGCCAUAACGAGCGCAACCCUUGUUGUCAGUUACUAACAGGUUCCGCUGAGGACUCUGACAAGACUGCCAUCGUAAGAUGUGAGGAAGGUGGGGAUGACGUCAAAUCAGCACGGCCCUUACGUCCGGGGCUACACACGUGUUACAAUGGGGGGUACAGAGGGCCGCUACCACGCGAGUGGAUGCCAAUCCCCAAAACCUCUCUCAGUUCGGACUGGAGUCUGCAACCCGACUCCACGAAGCUGGAUUCGCUAGUAAUCGCGCAUCAGCCACGGCGCGGUGAAUACGUUCCCGGGCCUUGUACACACCGCCCGUCAAGCCAUGGGAGCCGGGGGUACCUGAAGUGCGUAACCGCGAGGAGCGCCCUAGGGUAAAACUGGUGACUGGGGCU
rnacentral:rRNA from 1 species